UACGGAGGAUGCGAGCGUUAUCCGGAUUUAUUGGGUUUAAAGGGUGCGUAGGCGGACGCUUAAGUCAGCGGUAAAAUUGCGGGGCUCAACCUCGUCGAGCCGUUGAAACUGGGUGCCUUGAGUGGGCGAGAAGUACGCGGAAUGCGUGGUGUAGCGGUGAAAUGCAUAGAUAUCACGUAGAACUCCGAUUGCGAAGGCAGCGUACCGGCGCCCAACUGACGCUGAAGCACGAAGGCGUGGGUAUCGAACAGG
rnacentral:rRNA from 1 species